AUCCCAUGAUGAGGGAAUUUUCGCAACAACUCCUUGAACCGUUCUCAUGCCUCAUACAAAGAUUCAUCAUUAAGUUGCUGAAAUGAAUUGAUCUCAUUACAGAGCUU